rnacentral:rRNA from 1 species
UACGGAGGGUGCAAGCGUUAUCCGGAUUCACUGGGUUUAAAGGGUGCGUAGGUGGGUUUGUAAGUCAGUGGUGAAAUCUCCAAGCUUAACUUGGAACUGCCGUUGAUACUAUAAAUCUUGAAUGUUGUGGAGGUGAGCGGAAUAUGUCAUGUAGCGGUGAAAUGCUUAGAUAUGACAUAGAACACCAAUUGCGAAGGCAGCUCACUACACAAAGAUUGACACUGAGGCACGAAAGCGUGGGGAUCAAACAGGA